UUCAGGACCUGUGGAGGCCAUGAAGAACAGACCUUGAAGAUUUCCUGCUGCAGGGAUCAGGAAACUGAGAUGCUUAUCCAUCACUUGUCAUGUGGCAUUACCUAAAGACUGCUUUCAGGAUCAUCCACUACCUUGUAUCUCUGGCCUGCCCCAUGCUCAGCAGAGAAAAUCUGAGCAGAGAAUGUCAGGUGCUUUUGGCAGAAGGCAUUGGCAUACAUGGGGUGGUAAGUAUAAUAUCAAUGGGAUAUUGGCAGAGCACAAGAAAAGAGUCCAGUGCAGUGAGGUAAGGAAAAAGAGAAGCAAAUUCUUCUUAACACUAAUUAUUUCUUCUCCAGCCUAUCUAAGAUUCACAAGAUUUGGGAGCAGUCAAGUAGCAUUUUCUUUCUGUUUAUGAUUUCCCUCUGAGACUAUCAUUGCUUUAGGCAAAUGCAUUCAUGUGAAGAAUCAUUUUUCUCCAUGUCUGAGCCUAUAAUAAAUGUCAACCCUUUUUUGGCAACUGCAACUAAUGCUGCAGACCUACCAUUACUAAAAAUGAAAUUACACAUGUUAGGACCCCAGAUCAAUGUAUUUCAAGGGACAUUUAAGAUCACUCUGGACAGGCAAUGGAAUCUCUCCACCUCUGUAGCUAUGAGCCUCCUUCUGGAAAAAAAGAUAAAAUUUUUACUUGAUUUUUUUUCUCUUUCUCUUAGUGCUUGGAUCAAGCAAAAAAAAUGCAAAUGAAAUUUCUAGCCUUGUUAAUUCCCCUGAAAUCUAGCAUCCUCUCUAAAAUACUUGGUAAAACUAAGCACCCAGGAAACAAAGUUUAAAGUCUUUAAGGUGUGCUCAGUGUAGCCUGUAAGGUGUUUAAUAAAUAGCCCUUAAAUUUGCAUAGAAAUCAUAGGCCAUUGGAGCAAAAAGUAAGCUCAGGCAAUGUCACAGAAAAUGCUUCAUUUUACAGGUGAGAGAAAUGAAUCCCAGAGAGAAUUGGUUUGCACAAAACUACACGUCCGUUUAGUGGCACAGCAAAAACCAGAAUUAAGGUGGUCUGACACUCAUUCCAAUAAUUUUCAUGGUUUUUUAUGUUUUAAGCUUUGAUAGAAAGACUUUUGUGCAUUAUCUCAUUUAAAGAAACUAAUGAGAUGGUAAGUCAUUUACAAGUCAGUCAUCUGGGUAAGAGCAGGGGAUCCUCUGGGAUCUGAAUGCUUGGGUUCAAAUUCCAGCUCCAACAUGUGUCACCUGCAUGACCCUGAACGAUCUUUCUGUGCUUCCCUUUUCUCCACGGUAAGCAAUGGCAUCUAUCUCAGUACCCUUAAAACGAUUGCAUGAAAUACUGGUAAGCAAUGACAACUAUCUCAGUACCCUUGAAAUGAGUGCUUGAAAUGCUACAAGCAAGUGUCUAGAGAGUGCCUGGACCACAGUUAGUACUCCAUAAAUCUGAAGCGACAUGAUGUCAUCUUCACAACAGCUCUCAAAGAUACUCAUGCAGUGAUGAUACGUGUCAAUCAUUUGACGUCAAAUGUAUUUUUCAUUCCAUCUGGCAAAUCAUAUCCCUCUUCUUGAAUGGAAUUCCUCUGUCACUCUGGGUCUUUCAAUUCACCUUGAAGUGUCCAGGCCUGAUCAUAAAUAUAACAGGAAUCAGAAGUGGAACUGUUUUUAAACGUCUCUGAGAGCUGUGAAAGAGAGAUUCUCCAUUUGGUGAAGGAAAAAUCUUCCAUUAGAGGCAGAUAAUGGCGUUCUUUAUAAAGCAUUUCACAUUAACCAGCUCUACAAAACAAGCUCCUGUGGAUGCAGUCACAUUAUCUGAGCCACUAAGUCUCCUGUGAAGCUGGUUUUAUAUACUCGGGGAAGCACCAAGCCCAAGCAGUUUUGAAUACCAGUGGAAAAACAAGACUCUCAGCAGUUCCAGGAAAAAUAAAUUAUUAAAGCCGAAAGAGAUGGUGGAACAAUUCAU
rnacentral:lncRNA from 1 species